rnacentral:lncRNA from 1 species
GUUAAAAGUAAACAUUACACUUUCUCCUCACAUCCAUUCCCAUGAUCCAUUGGUAACAAAUGUUAGCAGUUUAUUGUAUAUGAUUCCAGAAAUAUUAUAUACAUCAAGGAAUGUAUAUAAUUAUUGUACAUACAUAUCCAUGUUUUUCAUCCCACAAAAUAGGUAUUGUUCUAUCCCCUGCACUUUUUCCACUUAAUAAAUUCCUCCGAGCAUAUCGAUAUACCAUAAUUUAACCUGUCCAUUAUAAAUCAUUAUAACAUUUCCAAUUUGUGCAUUAUAAAUAGCUAUGCAGUGAACACCCUUGUACAUAAUUUUUAGCAUAUCCAAGAUAAGACUGACUAAAGAAUAAAUUGCUAAGUAAAAGGGGUUCCCGUUGUGGCUCAGCAGAAACAAAUCUGACUAGCAUCCAUGAGGACGCAGGUUUGAUCCCUGGCCUUGCUCAGUGGGUUAAGGAUCUGUCCUCAGGGAUACUAGUUGGAUUCAUUACCCGCUGAGCCACAACAGGAACUCCAGGAGCUAUUUUUAUGGCUUCAAUAAAGCCAGGAUUUUCUGUGUCCUAAAAGUGUACCCUUCAGAGAAGGACAAACAGUGCUAUGGUACCUCCUUAUCAAUAAUUGAAGAAAUUAAAUGAGUCCCAGGAAUCAAAGCAAAAAAGGAUUUGAAAUUGCUUCCUUUGGAGAAGAAAGGAUAGUUUGUUUAUUUUAAAAGAGAAUAAUGACAAUCUGCUUUCCUUGUUAGUAGAAGACAAAACAAGGGAAGGAGCUGCAAUUUAAACAUAACCUCUUCUAGUUGGACAGACUGUUAUGGGCAUACAAUGUUGACAUGGUCCAUCUCAAGAAGCUGUGGCUACUGCUCCCAGUUGUUUUUAAGGAAGUUGGUGUAAGACCAGAUGACUUGAGCUCACUUUCAGUUUUCUAUCAUGAAUGAGAAACAGAGAAUUCACACUUACUCAGGUUGUUAUUUUUCUACAAUCCAAUAAGGCUCCCCCCCCCCGCCCUCAGGUCUGUUAGCCAGAGCUCUCAAAGUUUUUUUUUUUUUUUAAUAUUAAAAAACAUUCUAAUUUUGUCUUUUGUUUAGCAUUUUUAGGGCAAAAUGACCUAAAUUUCUAUGAGACAUGACUUUCAAACUGCUGAGAAAAGUAACUUUUGCUUAAAACUUCUGCAUUCAAAAGUCCAGCCCUGGCUCAAUGACAGAGUAAGUGACCCAUAUAAUAUUUUCAUGGAAGAGGUAACUGAUUCUGGAAAUAAGUGAAACUGACUUCCAGGUGUAACCGAUAUUUACUCAGGUUAUAGUUUCCACAACACUUUUUAAAUUUAAAUUAGAAAAAGAUUAGACUUUCCUUUUUGUAUGAGAAUGUUCAUUACAAAUUGGUCUGCAAUGAAAAGAACCAAAACACUGGUCAGAACACAGUGCGUAAAUCAACUGUGGGACAGUCAUACAAUGACAUACCAUAUGCCACUGAAAGGUAUCUAAAAACGACGCUGUUCUAUAAGCAGGGACUCUUAUAGAGAAUAUGAACAAGGCACUGUUUUGUGUUUCUCAAAUGCAAAACAAGAUUACCUAUCUUCCACAGGUAAAAUAUUUGAAGUAACAAACAUAUGGAAAUGAUAAACAGUACAUGGAGGAGAGUCAUUAUUCUCUGACAAAGAUGGGAAAGAAACAGGAUCAGGGAGGAAUCCCAGCUCCUCUC